UUUAUUGCUUUCGUGUCGCUCCGAUUUCUGGUUGAUUGCUGUUGCUUCUCCAAGUAGCUUCGACACGGUUUUAUCGUCUGCGGAGAGCUUAGUGUGAGGUGCGCGGGUUUGGCCCGGGUUUUGUCGUAUUCUACACGGAAUGUCAUAUUGUUUGCGUGUUACGCUGUAGGGUUUGGGAAUAGAAUCAGAUUGGAUGAGUAAUGCUGGAGAGACUCCAGGUUGUCUGUGUGUGUGUUCUUUUUAGUACUGUGUAUUGAGCCUGGGGCAUUUCUGUUGUUGAGUGAGGUGGUCGGUGAUCACAUCUCUUUCUUCAUACGUAUUAGGAGGCGUAAGGCUUACGAGGUGUUAAGUUUGUCGACGGUGCAUCGUAUUCAAACCUCGUUAAUUCCUGGCAGAGGUGAUUGGUGCCUCUCAGAUCUGGACAUUUGAAGUGCGGGUGUAUAUGCGGUUUAGUUUAUGCAGUGGGAUGCAUUUUCGAGUAUGUGGGUGCUGACGUAUUUUCCAAUCGCCGGCACAGUCAGGUCCAGCGGUUUAGGGAAUUUCAUUGCAUUCGGUCAGGUAUUUAAGCUCUGUUUACCUAGAACAAGCUGAAUAUGCAUUGAGUCUGACGUCUAUUAAACAUAUCAACACAACAUGCGUCCAUAUCGCAAGACCUUCAAUGGAUGGGUUUAUCGAAUGUAGAGAUUGACAUGUUCGAAAAGAUAGUUGGGCCCGGCAGGAUUUUUCGUGACGAAAUCCAAAUGCAGUGAACAUUGAGCAUCUUGAGAAGUGCUUCUUGGAAAUUCUACUAGCUCUUCGCUCCCUUACCGGUAUCAGAUUUCAGUGACAAGUGCAAAUAUGGGGAAUGACAAUCUCUUUUCCUCAGGGCAUCGAAGAGGCUCUAACAUUCCGUCUCUAUCCCCUUUCAAAAGAAGCUCAUCAUCUUCUGAUAGUUCAUGGCGUUCUCUUGCUAAUCGCCAUAGGUUCUUACUUAACAUGCUUGGGCUUUUAGUUGUACUUUGUACGAUAUACCUCUACUUCGCUAUCACCUUGGGACCAAGUGACUCUUGCUCUGGUUUGGGAGGAGCUGGUCGUGUCCGCUGCGAAAUGCGAGUUAAUGCAACGGAAGCCGAUUCGUUGAAGGCUCACCAUCGUCGACUCUUGCAAUUGUAAAAUUUUGGUACAUUCGAGGUCACUGGUCUUCAGGAAUGGAGGAAGGCAAGUGCGAGGAAGUUGAGACCUCGCGAAAGGUUUACUCUGAUUGGAGCACCUGCUAGCAGUGGAUCCCAAUUCAUCAGCUAAUAUUUGAAGACAAACCUAGUACCGUGCUAGUAAAAUAAAAACUUUCUUAUCGUGUCUAGCCAAUAUUCUGCAAUUCAAUCACUGCUAAGUUCAACAACAGCAAGGCUUUGUUUAAGGACACGAGAUUCUGUACUAAUCAGGUGUCUUAUUGGCCUUUGUCUAAAUAUCGUAUCCGGCGUUUUAGGUUCUACACCCUGUUCAUUUCAUUGGCAGGUCUCAAACCACCAGAACUGACCCUCGUAGGUCGAAGAACCUAAGAAACCUGCUAUAUAUUUCACCGGUCCAGAUACAUGUGCAAUGUGGUUCCAUUUCACUCUACUUUUUUGUUAGCAUGAAUUCACUUGAUUUUCUUUUCUUUUUUAAAAGUAACCAGUGAUGAAAAAUGGUUGGAUGUUAAUGUUUAAUACUGCAAAACAACUCUAAUAUCAUUAAGAAUCCCAGACACAUAAGAACACUUCAUGGUAGGAAACCAUGUAGGGUAAAGAAUUUGCUGCUUGCUAAUCUUGUGGGGGCGAUGAACUAUACUAUUGUGACGAGAUUGUGGGAUGUACCAAAACCCUACUGGAGGUAGUCUCAAAGGGAGUGAGGUGGAGGCGGCGGCUGUCAGUGGUGAGGGCGGUUGCAACUAGACGCACAAGACAAUGAAGUAAACAGUGACCAAGCACUUGACAAUGACUAGAUCAUUGUGGGUUUUUAUUAGAGCCAGGAAGUUAGGUUAAGCUUGGUUAAUACGCGGAGCAAAUGGGUUCACAUUGGCCGGGCCAGGAUUACGACCUGGCUCGUUCCUUUCUUCUACAUAAGUAGAGAUACUCUUCUUCCCUUGUAUCCGCGAGCACGGACAUUUCUGCAGAGUAACUAACUUCUCUUCUUGUUACAUUGAUCCUUGUGAGAUCCAUAUCUAGACUACAUGGCAUAAGGUCGAAACCGGGCACGAAGAAAGAGAUGUCCUCGACGUUAGGCCGAAUCAGUAUGAUCUGAAAUUUGUGACCGUGAUCGUAAAUAGCCACGACUUGGUAAGGUCCAACGUACUUCGCACGAAAUUUUCCUUUCUUCUCAAUCUUUUUUUCUUCCGUCAAACGACGAUGUUGCCGAUAGCCAGUUUCUUGGUGUAUCGAACUUAUUUGUAUUGAUUUUUUUUUUGAGCUCGCUGUGCCUUGGCGAUGUUGAGGUGUCCUUUCUUGUGGAGGUAGGUGCGGUAUCGGAGGAGGCCAUUCAGGUAAUGAUCAAGGUUCAGUGGUUUUGUUACAGCGGUUUUUGGUCCUGAUGGUGCCAUUGGUAGCCGCGGCUUGCGCCCAUACAGGAACUCAUAGGGAGAGAUCUCGGUACUGGAGUGUACUAGUUCGGUAUGCAAAAAUUAGUGCCGGCAACAUGGAGUGUCAACGGUCAUCGUACAAUCCAUUCCUUUCAAUUAGGCCAUGGAGGGUGCGGCUGAACCUUUCCGUGAGACCGUUGCAUUGCGGAUGAUACGGUUAGAUCGUGGUGUGUUUGAUUUGCAUGUGUAUUGCCAUGAUAUCCACCAGUGCGUUGCAGAAUUUGGAUUCGUUGUCGAUAAGUAUCUCCCUGGGGCUGUUGUGAAUCAUGAUGAUUUGAUCGAAGAAAAAUUGUGCGAUGUUGUCGCAGUCUUUGGAUACUAAUGGUUGAACCCUCCACCCAUUUCAUCAAGUAAUUAGUGGCUAUGAUUACAUAGCGAUGAUGUUCAAUGGUCGGAAUGAGAGGUCCCAUGAGGUCUAAUCCAACACGUGCAAAUGGCUCGGUGACCAGAAUAAUUGUGAGGAGUCUUGGUUUGCUGCUUCAGGGUUGAGGUUUCUUGAGUUGGUAGGCCUCGCAAGACUUGAUAAAGCUGGUCACAUCUUUGAUCAUUCCAAUCCAGUGGUAUGUCUCUUGUAGGCGGUUGACUGUCCGUUUUACUGAGAAAUGUCCCACUGGGUGUGAGACAUGAUACAACAUCAUAAUUUUAUUGAGUUCCGAUCGCCUGGGAACUUGGAGCAACACAAUGCCCUCGUGGAUGUUCUUCUCAUAAAAGAAGAUAUCACCUCGCGCGAAGUGUUGGGGAAGGUGUUAUUGGAUUCUCUUGGCAAGAGUUCUAUCUACCCCCUUUGAAAUUGUGCCAAAGAGGCAAGUUGCGAGCAUAGUGCUUUAUAGGGUGUCAUCCAUGCUCCCUUGCAAAUUCCUGGAGCAGUCGCGUUUUUCAAGUGACCAGGUGCGGAGUGUCUGCCUCAGUGGGGGUGUGUGUGAUAGUGAAGGCAAUAAAAAAACUGGCAGGGUGAGUGCGAGGAGUAGAAGUGAGAGGGAAGGCCAAGAUUCAAAGUGGAACGGAAACAAAGAAAAAACUGAAAUUCAACUACAACUACUACGAAGAGAAAAACAUGGAGACAAAGUGAUACAAAUCUAGGAUGUCAUGGAGUGAUUGUCCUCGAGCGAGGCUGGCUCCAGGGUGCAUGGUUAUCAUGAUUCAUGAUAACAAAUGUGCCAACUACCAUCAUUGUUGGUCGUGAUAUGAAGUAAUGUAGCGGCGGUGAUGGCUUGAAACGUGGAGUAUGGUUCUGGUGUUAUGGUUACUGUGCAAGUGAGGACGUCAACAUGGCGAUGUAGCCGGCCUGGCUUGUGAACGAUAUCACAGUCAUAUAAUUGAGGUAGUAGAGCCCAGCGAGCUAGCCAGCCAGUGAGUUCACGAGAUUUUAGAAGGGCUCAUAGUGGCGCAGGAUCGAUCUUUGUGCAAAAUCUGGAUCCGUGCAAGUAUGUCCAGUAGUGUUUGACGUCAAACACCAUCAUUAGGCCCUCCUUGUCACUUAUGCUGUAGUUUUUCUUAGCUUUUGACAAACGGCGAGAGGCGUAAGCGACCACUCUUUUGUGAUCAUUGACCUACUGGCUUAGGAUGGCCCCUAUCGCAUCCCGCGAGGCAUCCAUUUGAAACAGGAAAGACAGUUUGAAAUUUGGGUAUACAAGAAGAGGGGCUGAACAUAGCAUGGUCUUGAGGUGGUAAAGAUCUUGUUUUUCCAUCAUGUGCCAAAUGAAUGUGGUGCCUUUCUUCAUGAGUCCAUGGAGUGGGGCAGCCAGCGUAUCAAAGUCGUGAAUGAAUCUACGGUAGUGGUUAACAAGCCCCACAAAGGAUUGGAUACACUUUAGAUUUGUAGGACAAGGGAACUGCUGGACGGUGUGGACUUUGCUCAGAUCUGGUCAUAGGCCUUGUGCUGAAAUUACAUGUCUGAGAUAAAUAAGUUUGGGAAGGUCAAUUGUACAUUUCAUGGCCUUCAACUUGAGGCCAGCUGCAUGCAGUUUGUCAAAGAUGCGCUGGAGGUCUUGUAUGUGAUCAUCAAAGAUUUUGGAGUACAUGUUGACAUCAUCAACGUAUACCAACGCUUAUUCCCAUCGGAGUUUCCUGAGGACCAUGUCCAUGAGCCUCUGGAACGUGUGGGUGGUGUUGCAAAGGCCCAUGUGCAUUGUGUUAAAGUGAAACAAUCCUUUGCGGUAGAUAAACGCUGAUUUUUCUUUAGCUGUGUCUUCGUGGAGUACUUGCCAAAAACUUGCGGCCAAGUCGAUGGAGGGAAAAAUUGUUGCACAAUGCAGCUGAUUGAGUGUGUCAUCAAUGCGAGGAAGCGGAUAGAUAUCCUUCUUUGUGAUAGCAUUCAGUUGGCGAUAGUCAAUGCAAAAUCGUGUGCUCCCGUCUUUUUUUUCUGACUAAUACGACGGAUGAUGCCCAUGGUGAGAGUGAGGGAGAGGCUACUCCAAAGUCGAGUAGUUUGUGGAUCUCCUGUUGUAUAAUUUCUCGCUCCUUGUUGGAUUUGCGAUAUCCAACCUGUUGCACUGGGGGAGGGGGCUCGGUCACAAUGUCGUGGGCUAGGAGCGUGGUAUGGUUGAGGUUCGUGGGUCUGAAAUUGAAGACGUCUAAAUUAUCAUGGAUGAGCUGCAUUACACGUUGUCGCUGCUAAUGUGUAAGUCCUACAUCGAGGGUAAUGUCGGUGACAACCUGAAUGAACUUGGCCUGUUGACUAGUGUUGACGAUCAGCGGGGUUGGUGGUUUUGUUGUGAGCAUGUUGGCGUUGUCUGGCUGCGAUUGUGGGACCUCUGGUAUCCCCAUCUGUGCUUCUGGGAUUGAGAUGAGAUUCUGGACUGUGUGUACGGGUACCGCAGAUAAUUUGGCCAAGAUUUGAUGUGCAUUGAUUUGUAUGGGCGUUGCGGUUGGGUUGGCCACCAAGGGGCUUAAUUUCGCCUUGGAAGCGGCGAUCAUAAAGACCAGGAGCGACGAGGCCGCUACUACGAUGCGCCAAGGUGCGCAAAGGCUCGACUUUUAUGAAGUGCUCGGAGGAGCAGAUGAACGCUUGAUUGGUGGCGUGAAUGAUUUGGGUGUGGGCAUGAAUCUAAAAUAUGAGUGCAGUCCAUAUAAGUGUAGCUAAUUGAGGAAUUUAGAGCGGAGGUGUUCUUUUGGUGCUUGGAAUGGGGAUGUCCCAGAUGUACAGGCCAUGCCCCGAUGGCUGAUGUUUGAAAAACAACGGCCAGUCAAAUCGAGGAGUUGGCAGGGAUGCAGUCGUCGGGACUAGAGAUAUUGACAGAGUAGUGGUGCCGGGAGGUAUCGCCACCAAGGCCAGGGAGACAAUCUUGGAGUCCUCCGUUGGAAGGGAGAUGGAUAGCUUGCGCCGGAGGAUGUCAAGGAUGUAGUUGGUGGCGGUGAGCUAGUCGAGGCCUAGUAAAACAUUGUCGCUCGUGCUAGCUAGUACUUGCACAUGCGUGGAGCAUACUUCUACGAUGAUGGUGACAGAGACAAGUCCCAAUGGAGCAUAUGUGGUGCCAUCGGCAAUGAAGACUUGUUGGUUGGUGGGAAUGAUCUUCAUAUUGAGAAGUCAAGUGAGAUUGAGGGGGAAAACAAUGAGGUUGCAUCCGGUAUCCACAAUACAUGGUCGUGCAAUAUCAUUCAUGAGGCCUUGGAAUACCCAUGUGCAAAUGAAUUGGAGUUGCUUGGAGGGGGGUCGGCAAUUGAGAGAUUAGAAAUUUGUUGAUAUCAGGAUGAGUCGUGGACUUCAAGUGGUCGGUGCCUCCGAGCCACAGGCGGAGGCAUCUACUAGCUUAAAGGGCGUUCUCGUGCUGUCUCACCCUUUUGUUGAGCGAGCUUGGCUUUUAAUUUCGACAAUAUCUGCAAUAGAAUGGAAUGAAGCAUGCACCUAAAUGUGCUGUGGCCGGAUUCUUGGCAGAUGGCACAAACGUAGGGCCUUCGUUGGUAGCUCGGGCGGUUCAUCUCUUGCUGCCCGCUCGUUGAAGGCUUUGAUGGUUGCUAUUGUGCGAAAGAUCUGUGUGAGUGGAGCUGGGCCGUGAUUUUGGUGAGAGCGAGCUUGAGGUCGGCCUCCUCUUGCGAGGUUAUAGUAUUGGGGACGUUUUCAAGAGUGGUGAUUAUUGGAGUCUUCGUUUUGGUGUCAUGCGGUAUCAAGAAUUCAAGGCAAAGUUUGAGAUGUUCCAACAUGGAGUCACCAUUGGCGAAUUGGUGGAUUCCAGCCUCGUGACGUAGGUCCGACGGGAGCGAUCGGAUGAAGUAUGAGUGAGCUGUUUGUCUCAUGAAUUCAUGUUCGUCGCUUAUUGCAAGCUUGGCAUGACAAAGAAAUCGAGAGUAAUGGAAGUCAAGGUUGUCACCAUGUCUAUAUUUUGUGGUUUGGAGAAAGUCCCAGGUCGCAUUGCGCUGGUCCGUGGGUAUGAAGAGUUUCUUGGCCAGGUGUUGCACUUGGAGCCAUGUGCCAAAUGAUUAGAUUCUAAUCGGGAUUCAAACAGGUCCUUGCGAUCUCCAACGAGGCGGAGAAAAAUUGGGAUAUGCAUUAGGAGUCCGGGGCAAAGUAUGCUCAGCUAUGGUGUUGAAGUCUUGCAAGAAGGCUAAGAAGUUGUCGUUGAGUGAGAAGUAGCGACCGAAUGAGAGAGUUGAUAGUGUGCCUAGGUCAGGUCGAGGGACGAUCCAUGGUGGUGGAGCAGUGGCUCGAGAUCUUGGUUGUUCUAGUAUGGUGUGCAUGUUGUAAACCACUGGCGUGACGGUGUGGUGCAUGUUGUCUUCGAGAAGAAGAUCCGCAAUUUCUACUGGGAAAAGAGCUAGUAAUGUGCGUCAUAGUUGAUCAACGCCGGAGCUUGAUUUGACGAGGUUGUAUGCAAUAUGGUUGCCGGAUCUUGUAUUGACGAGGUUGUAUACAAUAUGGUGUCGUCAUAGCCACGUCACAUUGAAGCAGGUUGAGGUUGGAUGAGCCUUGACCAAAUCCCUCCGUUGUCAAUGGUCAAACUGCCGAGACGUUGUUGGGCGUAGUUUGCAGCUCGCAAGACACUUCGAGCUUUGAAGGACGAGAUGUCCCAGACAUAGGAAUGUACAGAAGAGGGAGCAAGAGCUAGUGCUUACCAGAUGUUGGGGGAUUCUUUGGAGAUGGCCUGUGCCAACCAAAAUGUUUGAGGUAUCUCUAGGUCCAGCAGUUGGAAUUGCUUGGAAUGUAGUGCUGUUCUUUGUCCCAUUAAAUCAAAGUUCUUUGUUCGCUGCCACGCCAAUAAAUGUAGCAAGCGUUGCUUCUGUUUGAGUGCCACCAGGAAGUCGAAGUGGCCGAAUGCGGAUAUGUUGGUAUGCCCCACGUUCCACUCAGAAGUGUUUAACGAGUUAUUGGUGCCUGGAAUGAUCCGUAGAUCGUUGCACCAGAUUCAAAAAGUGGUGCCACUUGCUUAGCGUGUCGGCCGAGGAAAUGAUGCAGGUCGAGUGUUGGUGAGCACGUUCAGAUUCUUGCACAGUUGGAACAAAUGAUAACAUAACGGCCCCAUGAGGAGUUGCAGGAUGUCGUUCCUACGGAGUGGUCAUCCUCAUGUGCCAAGUUGAGGAUGUAUAGGUACUUCGCGGAGGGUGGUGAUAGGUGUGGAUAGAUAGCUGGAAGUGGGGUUCAGCCAUUGAGUGGAAUUUCGUCUGACUUGCGUAGCUAUUGAUGUGACUGAUCUUGGUUCUGUAACAGCGCAGCGAGAGCGUUGGUGAUCUUCACUAAAGUCGACCAGUGGUGGUCAGUGAGAGUUGUAUAGAUCUAGAAUUCUCAGGCUGUGUCUGAGGCACUCAUCUACUUGUGAUGUUCCCAAACAUUGACCUUCGGCCUGGUGGUCGUCUGCCAAGGUUGUAGAAAAUUCUGGGCUCUCAGGUGGCAUAAAGAAUUCCUCCGUAGACUCCGAUUUCUUCAAGCAUUGAUUCUCCCGGACAAAUCGCUCCUCAAAGAAAAGAUGCUCUGUGCGGGAGAUGGUCCUAGACUCGUCCUCAGCCAUCAUGUCACCUAUGCAUACCUCAUGAUGUCAAACUUUUUUCAACUUCAGAAGGGUAUCCAGCGUCUCCACCAAAGAAUUCGCCUCUUGCUAAUCUUUUCAAAGCAGUGGAGGCAAUGAACAAUAUUGUUAUGACGAGAUCGAGGGAUGUAUCGAGGGAGGUAGCCUUGAAGGGAGUGAGAUGGAGGCGGCGGCCAUCAGCGGCGAAGGCAGCCGCAAGUAGACGCACAAGAGGAUGAAGUAAACAAUGACCCAAUACCUGACGAUGACUAGAUCAUUGUGGAUUUUUAGUAGAGCCAGGAAGUUAGGUUAAGCUUGCUUAAUAUGCAAAGCUAAUGCAUUCACAUUGGCCAGGCCAGGAUUACGACCUACAAACCAUUGUUAUAGAUUGCUAUUUUGUUUUAAUAAAUAUAUAGUAAAGUGAGUGUUAUUUAUCUA